rnacentral:tRNA from 1 species
AAAUAAUUCUUUUAUUAUAAAUCUUA